CCCCUGGUGGUCCAGUGGUUAAGACUUUGCCUUCUAAUGCAAGGGAUGUGGGUUCAAUCCCUGCUCAGGGGG
rnacentral:tRNA from 1 species